GCCAACUUCUACAUGCGCCCGAUCGAAGGCCUCACCGUCCUCCUCGAUAUCGACACACAUGAGGUGGUGGAGGUUGUCGACGUCGGUCCCAACGUCCCGGUGCCGAAGUUCACCGGCACCGACUACCGUUAUGAGGCGGUCGCCGGCAACCGACCACUAUAUCUUGGUUCAGUAAAGCCAAUAUCGAUCGAGCAGCCACAAGGGCGGAGCUUUGAGAUUGUCGAUGGACACACGGUGAAGUGGGCAGGAUGGGAAUUUCACCUCAAGGCGGAUCCGAGGGCAGGGGUGGUGGUGUCGGGAGUGACUGUGGCGGACUCCGAGAGCGGGGAGCAGAGGCGAGUGAUGUAUAGGGGUUUUGCAUCGGAGCUGUUUGUGCCGUACAUGGAUCCAACUGAUGCGUGGUACUUCAAAACGUAUAUGGAUGCAGGGGAGUAUGGGUUCGGGUUGCAGGCGAUGCCAUUGGUGCCGUUGAAUGAUUGCCCGAGGAAUGCUUACUACAUGGAUGGGGUUUUUCCGGCCGCCGACGGGAGGCCGUAUGUGAGGCAGAACAUGAUUUGUGUGUUUGAGAGGUAUGCUGGGGAUGUCGGGUGGAGGCAUUCUGAGAGUCCGAUUACUGAGUUGGAGAUCCGGGAGGUGAGGCCGAAGGUGACGCUGGUGGCCAGGAUGGCGGCAUCGGUGGCGAAUUAUGACUACAUUGUUGAUUGGGAGUUUCAGACUGAUGGGCUCAUCCGUGUCAAGGUUGGGCUCAGUGGAAUCCUUAUGGUGAAGGGAACACCCUACCAGCACAUGAAUGAGGUCCCCCACAAGGAAGAGAUAUAUGGCACACUCCUUUCCGAGAACGUGAUAGGUGUCAUCCAUGACCACUACAUCACCUUCCAUCUCGACAUGGACGUCGAUGGCACCGACAACACAUUUGUCAAGGUGAAUCUGGCCAGACAGGCCACUAACCCUGGCGAGUCGCCAAGAAAAAGCUACCUCAAAGCCACCAAGGAGGUGGCCAAGACAGAGAAGGAUGCACAGAUCCA
rnacentral:misc_RNA from 1 species